CUUGGUGGUAGUAGCAAUACUCAAGUGAGAACCUUGAGGACUGAAGUGGAGAAGGGUUCCAUGUGAACAGCAGUUGAACAUGGGUCAGUCGGUCCUAAGGGAAAGGAGAAGUUCUUUCCGAAGCGGGAGCACUUUUUUGCAGUGGAGAGAGCCCCGCAGUGACCGAAAGGGAAUCGGGUUAAUAAUCCCGAACCCGGACACGGAGAUUGGUCCUUCGGGGCCCAGUGCGGUAACGCAAACCAGCUCGGAGACGCCGAUGCGAGCCCCGGGAAGAGUUUUCUUUUCUCUGUAAGGAGAUCGAGUCCCUGGAAUGGGUUCGCCCCGAGAUAGGGAUGGUGGCUCCGUAGAGCAGUGCGGUUCUUGCGCUGUCCGGUGCGCUCGCGUCGGCCCUUGAAAAUCCGAGUGAGGGAGUGUGAUUUUCGUGCCGGACCGUACCCACAUCCGCAGCAGGUCUCCAAGGUGAACAGCCUCUAGUCGAUGGACCAAUGUAGGUAAGGGAAGUCGGCAAAACGGAUCCGUAACCUUGGGAUAAGGAGGGUAAAUUAGAUCUUCUGAAAGAACAGCGAGUGUUGGAAUUGCCGGGCACGUACGCCGCGGCGGUUGCUGGUGCGGGGGCUGCGACUUGCCCUCCAGAGACCCCGGCGGCGCGUGGGCCUGAGAUUCUGACGGUUCCGGAACCCGCUCCGGAACCUCGUGAGACUUUAUUGAUUUAUGGCAAGCCAGAUGUGAAUACUUGGGUUGCCCUAACAACGAAAUUCAACCCUCUAGAGCUGAACAUCCAGAACGUUUCUGUACGUAACAUAGCAUCGAACGGAGUAAGCGUACAAGCUGCAAACAAAGAGGGUCUGGAGAGGUUGAAGGCAGCCAUCGAGACAGACGAGUCCAUAAAGAAAUACUAACUCCGAAAUUUCCGGGUACGCU
rnacentral:ncRNA from 1 species